UCCUGGUGCCCUAGGCAAUUGCCUAGUUCGCCUCAAUGGAAGCUCCGGCCCUGCUGGUGUCCCACCCCGGGGGGGAGUUCUGGAGUGGGAUGAAUCUCCCAGAAGAGGGUCUUGUGAGCCCUCUAACAACUCCUCCCACUGAUCUCUGCCAUCAGAGUGCAGGACUAUCACCUCAUAAGUCCCAGCGCCGGGCAGAAGAGGCCAUCUCUUACCAAGAAUGCAUGUUUUAGAAAUCAUGGAAAGGCUGAGAGGAAACAUGAACUCCUUCACCAUCACAGACCCAAACAUACAUGGGGGGAAACAGAACAACCAUGUGCCAGCAACCCUUUAUCCUCUGGUAGAAGGCCCAAACGCACAUGGGGGGAAACAGAACAACCAUGUGCCAGCAACCCUUUAUCCUCUGGUAGAAGAUAACUUUCUGCAAUUGGCUUUAUUGAAAAGUAUUUUGUGGCAAACUCUUGGUUGUAAACUGCUGGGGUUUUAUGGCUGCAAACUCUUGGUAUGCAUGUUUCAAACGUACGGGUUUCUGUGCAAAAUGUUUUUUUUUAAGUUGGUUUUACCACAGUUUGGUUUUUAUUCUGCAAAAUGAGAUGUGUUUUUGAAAUGUUUGUGGGUUGUUGUUUUUUUUAAGUGGUAGAAAUAAACUCAAAAGCUGUUUGUUGUACAGCCUGAAAUCGAUUAUUUUGUCUUAAAGCUGUGCCUUUUUAAAUAGAAAAACACCAUAAUGAGUAUUUUAUUUUUUAAGUUUACAAGACCAUUUCAUCUGUUUUAUAAUAAUACUGUUGUCUGCUCCACGGUAUGGUCAAAACAUGAGAGAUCCCUAAACCAAGGGUAAACAAGCUCAAAAGAAAAAGGAAAGAAAUAGCUGCAAAGGAAAACUCACCAGCAUCAAUGGCUGAUGGAUGGAUGAAACCCACUAAAUAUAUUUUGCUUAUUGGUUUGGUUAUUUUAUGAGGUUGAGUAUUUUAAGUAAAUACAUAGGCGUGGGUAAGAAAGAUGGUAAAAUUAAGUUUUGGAAAAUGUUUUUUUUUCCCCUAAUCAGGCAAGUGCAGCUCUCCUAACAAUGCUAUAGUUGGAGCUACAGGGACACCUCCACCAGAACUGCCAAAGAACCAGGAAUCUGCUUUGAGACUUUUAACAACGCCAGCAUAAAACAGCACAAGAGUGCAGAUGAAGUAUCAGGACAGUCCAAUCCUCAUAUUCGUCAAACCCAAGAACAAAACAAAAGACUCUAGUAAAAACCAACCAGGCAAACACAACUCCAGUUCCUCAGCAGCCACUACCACACCAAGCCCUGAGAAAACUGUGAGCGAAAAUGCCCACAUUCACAAACCUGGAGCACGUGCUCUAGGGUUUGUGAAUAAAAAACCAAGGACUGACAAACCACUCUCCCAACACCACAAGCUCUUCACAGCUCCCCCAUAUUCUAGUAUUUGGGAAAAGUAUGAUGCCUCAUUCAGAAAACUGAUGGACUCUGUUCCUCAGGGGUUCUAAAAGAAAAGAGGGCUGGAAACUACAUUAAAAAUGCAAAAGCUCUGGCGGGUGAUUUUUUGAAAAUACUUCAAUUUUUCCAAAGGGUGGCUCUAAGCAGGCAUGACUAUUCGUGGAAAGGGGCUGCGUACAAGGGGCACCCUCAAGGGUACAUCCACUCAGGUGUAAAGAAGAGGGGGGACAGUGCGUGGGAGAUAAACAUAUGGCUGCCAAAAAGUUCCAGGCCAGGGUUGCUGUAAAUUUUUUUUAAAAGACUGAAGAGGUAAUGAGGAAAAAACAAAACAAAAAGAUUCUCCUUACUGGAGGCUCUCAAACUGGCUCAUCUGAAAAUGGGGAGGUGGAAUCUGACUUGUGGGUGGUAGUGACUCUCACACAGAGUCUGAUUUAGAAAAUUCCUCAGAAGGCUCUCUAGAUGGGUCCAGGGUGACUCCUGAUGACUCUCACAGAAGCCCCUCAGAGUCUGACUCUCAAAUAGCAUCUGAUGUCGAAGAUGCCGAUGAUGGUCCCAUAGAGGAACCCCCAAGUGACCUUGAAAAUGCAGAGGUGUACAUGGAGAGAGUGAGACUCCAUGAGGGUCAUCAGAAGUAGAUGGGACCCAUCUAGUGGGUUACUACCAGAACAGUUGUGACGUGAAAGUGGGGAUAGGGACGUGCUGAACCUGUGACAUGUGAAGAUGCCAGCUUGGAAGUGCUGUUCGACCCAGCCUGCUCAGGCUUACUCUAUUCUGGUGCAGUACUGUGGCCUAUAAGCUUGAGAGUGCUGAUUGACCCGGUCCAAUCAGACUUGCUUUGUUAGUGUAUGUGUUUGUGUGCGUGUGCUCAUCUGAUUCUGGGGCUGGAGGAACCCAGCUCUGGGGAACCUAGGUCUUGCAGGAUAGCUCCAUCGUUAGGGGACUUGCAGAAGGGAAGAGUAGAGCUCCAUAGGAAAACACGAAUGACACAAGCAAUACAUUAAUAGAAUGACAGAACACCUCCCCUCCCCCCGAAGAGUAACGAUAAUAAAUGAGCAUACCCCAAAGUAACGGGCAGAACUGGUAACACUCUGGUCUAAGGAUCUCUCAUGUUUUGACCGUACUAUGGAGCAGACAACAUUAUUAUUAUAAAACACAAGAAACAGUCUUGUAAAGUUAAAAAACCAAAAAGCUGCCCCUUCUUGGAAGCUCUCAAACUGGCUCGUCUGAAAAUGGGGAGGUGAAAUCCGACCUGUGGGGUGGUGAUGACUCUCACUCAGAGUCUGAUUUAGAAAAUUCCCCAGAAGGCUCUCUAGAUGGGUCCAGGGUGCCAUCAGGGUUAAUGUAUUAGUGAUCAGUAAUUAAAUUUGAUGGGUGUGCACCCACAGUAAGGGAGGUGGUAGGGUGAGAAUGGUGAGUUUUGAUUAAUAUGAAAUGAAAUAAAACCUCAGAAAUUCACAGAUGCUAUUGAACAGUUUAAAUAGAACCCCUGGAGUUGGUAGAACUCUAUUGGACAGUUUAAAUAUAACCCAGGAGUUGGUUGAACGCUAUGGGUCACUCUUUUUCUAGCAACUUAAAGUCAUUAAAAGUUUAAAAUACCAUAUUUACAAAAAAUAAACCAGGGUCUAACCCAAAACUUAAAUAUUUCAAUUGUUCACAAACCACCACAAUACUUUAGAACAAGCAUUUGCUCUAAAGCCCAUCAAACAUUUAAAAACUAUGGAUAUUAUUAGGCUGCUCACAAUGGUUGUGAUACACCCAUUUUAUUUCAAAAACAGCCCCCAGAUUUUAAGCGUGAAAGAAAAUGUUUAAAAAACAAACAAACCAGCCCCAAGACAUUGAUAUCUGCAAAGGGCCCCCAUUUAGGAAUGGAUACAGUAACAAAGGACUGAUGAUUUACUGUUUAAUAUGGUAAAAAGGCCCUACAGAAAAAUGUAUUUUAACUAAAAGGAAAAAAAAAUAGCCAAAAGCAGCCUAGUUGUGCAAACAAAUUUAAUUUUCCCCAUCCCACAUCACAAAAGGGAAUGUUAGGGGAGGGGUGCCUAAAGUCCUUAAGUACCUAUUAAUUCAGAGUUGUGGUGAUUGAGUCAACCUGCUAAUUACAGUGGUCUACAAUUUUUGAGAAGUCGUCUGCUUCAGAGAUAAAAUGUGCUAUUUAUUAUGUAUUUUGAU